rnacentral:rRNA from 1 species
AGGACUAACGCUGGCGGCGUGCCUAACACAUGCAAGUCGAACGAGGGGUAGCAAUACCCCUAGUGGCAGACGGGUGAGUAACACGUAGUCAACCUACCUCUUAAUGGGGGAUAACUAGCCGAAAGGUUAGCUAAUACCGCAUACGAUCGUCGAGUGGCAUCACACGACGAUGAAAGGAGCAAUCCGUUGAGAGAGGGGACUGCGUCCCAUUAGUUAGUUGGUGGGGUAAUGGCCUACCAAGACUCCGAUGGGUAGCUGGCUUGAGAGAGCGACCAGCCACACUGGAACUGAGACACGGUCCAGACUCCUACGGGAGGCAGCAGUGAGGAAUUUUCCGCAAUGGGGGAAACCCUGACGGAGCGACGCCGCGUGUGGGAAGAAGGCCUUCGGGUCGUAAACCACUGUCGAGGGGGACGAUAUUGACGGUACCCCUGGAGGAAGCCCCGGCUAACUACGUGCCAGCAGCCGC